rnacentral:lncRNA from 1 species
GUUCCAUUCAGGCCAUGUUUUCCCCUUUCCUGGGACCCUGUGAUAUCAUAUCUGAUAUCCUUGAAACCCUCCUUCAUGCCCCAGCGGGGUUGGUGGAGAGACAAGAAACCCUCCCAGUCAAGAGCUUAGAUAAACCCCUGACAUUUCCUGUUCUCUCUCUCUUUUCCCACUAUUCCUUCUCGGACCAUGGAAUAAAAGAGCUGGAUUGUUACAUUCCGUUCAAGCCAUGUUUUCCCCCUUCCCUGGGACCCGAUGACAUCAUAUCUGAUAUCCCUGAAACCCUCCUUCGUGCCCCAAUGGGGUGGAGAGCCAAGAUAUCCUCCCUGUGAAGACCCUAGAUAAACCCCUGGCUUUUCCUAUUCUCUCUCUUACCCGGCUCUCUUGCCCCGGCUCCCUUGCCCUGGCUCUUCCCUCUCAGACCAUGGAAUAAAAGAGCUGAACAUCCACAACAUUCAGUCUAGUUCAGCUGUAUCCAGAUGGCAAGAUGUGCAGCUGAGGGCUACACAGCUCCCAAGCCUGGGACACCUCUGUACCAGCAUGACCUGAGUACACACUUCCAUCCUGCCUUUGGCACCAAAUAUUUGAUUGAAGAAACACAGAAAACUUCAGAGUUUUCCCAGGAGAUCAGCAGCAUUGCCACUUUAAGGAUGCUCUGCCUUACAGAGCUCUGCCCUGGACUGUGUGUCAGAAUCCAGCAUCAGCAGGUCCAGCAGAGAUCCCUGCUACUGAGACACUUCACAGAUGCUAAAGGCAGAGGUAGUUACAUACCGUGUGCUGAUUCAUCCUCUUUUUGGUUGCUCACAAUUAUGUCCUGACUCCACAUGCUUCCUUUCUGAAGAAAGACCAGACAAUCAUUGAAGUAGGGAACUGAGCAGAGUUGGUGUUAGGAUGUUGCCAGAAGACCUCUGAUACACCUCUCAAAAUCAGUUGUACUCAAAAUUUGUUUUCUCUCUGUGUCCUCCCACACUGCUAAAGGAAAUCGCAACUCAAUCUGAGAGAGAAACCAAACUUUAAAAAUGUUGGUCCUCCUCACACUUGCUCUAAAAUUCACAGGAUGAUAGGACAAAGCUGUGUUUGCAGCUUCAUUGGCAGCCUCAGUUUUAACACUUCUGUAUGUGUUAUAUGUGCACAUAGAAAAUUAUUCUAAAAGCAAAUACAGUUGGGUUGGUUUUUCCUUUGACUACAUGAGAUGUUGAUGAGAAUUCUACUAAGUACAACCUCUCUGAUUACAGAUGGCAGGAAAACCAGAUAAAAUAGCAUUAUUUUAAUCCUGAGGCUAAAGUAGCUUCUCUCAAGUGUAAACAUGUAAAUUUAACAGCCUAUACAGACCAAGAUUAUUUUACCUCCUAUGCUGUACAUAAAAUAAAGUAUAUCCAAUUAAAAUUGAAAAGUUGAAG